rnacentral:rRNA from 1 species
AGUCGAACGGCAGCGCGGGGCAACCUGGCGGCGAGUGGCGAACGGGUGAGUAAUAUAUCGGAACGUACCCUGGAGUGGGGGAUAACGUAGCGAAAGUUACGCUAAUACCGCAUACGAUCUAAGGAUGAAAGUGGGGGAUUCGCAAGAACCUCAUGCUCCUGGAGCGGCCGAUAUCUGAUUAGCUAGUUGGUGGGGUAAAGGCCUACCAAGGCAUCGAUCAGUAGCUGGUCUGAGAGGACGACCAGCCACACUGGAACUGAGACACGGUCCAGACUCCUACGGGAGGCAGCAGUGGGGAAUUUUGGACAAUGGGCGCAAGCCUGAUCCAGCAAUGCCGCGUGAGUGAAGAAGGCCUUCGGGUUGUAAAGCUCUUUUGUCAGGGAAGAAACGGUGAAGGCUAAUAUCCUUUGCUAAUGACGGUACCUGAAGAAUAAGCACCGGCUAACUACGUGCCAGCAGCCGCGGUAAUACGUAGGGUGCAAGCGUUAAUCGGAAUUACUGGGCGUAAAGCGUGCGCAGGCGGUUUUGUAAGUCUGUCGUGAAAUCCCCGGGCUCAACCUGGGAAUUGCGAUGGAGACUGCAAGGCUAGAAUCUGGCAGAGGGGGGUAGAAUUCCACGUGUAGCAGUGAAAUGCGUAGAGAUGUGGAGGAACACCGAUGGCGAAGGCAGCCCCCUGGGUCAAGAUUGACGCUCAUGCACGAAAGCGUGGGGAGCAAACAGGAUUAGAUACCCUGGUAGUCCACGCCCUAAACGAUGUCUACUAGUUGUCGGGUUUUAAUUAACUUGGUAACGCAGCUAACGCGUGAAGUAGACCGCCUGGGGAGUACGGUCGCAAGAUUAAAACUCAAAGGAAUUGACGGGGACCCGCACAAGCGGUGGAUGAUGUGGAUUAAUUCGAUGCAACGCGA